GACAGAGGUGCCGAGCGUUAGGCGGAAUCACUGGGCUUAAAGCGUGUGUAGGCGGAUUGGUAAGUACCUUGUGAAAUCCCACGGCUCAACCGUGGAACUGCUGGGUAUACUGGUUUUCUUGAGCCACUUAGGGGCUGUCGGAACAAAUGGUGGAGCGGUGAAAUGCGUAGAUAUCAUUUGGAACGCCAACGGUGAAAACAGACAGCUGGGAGUGUGCUGACGCUGAGACACGAAAGCCAGGGGAGCGAACGGG
rnacentral:rRNA from 1 species